GAGCGGUAGAGAGAAGCUUGCUUCUCUUGAGAGCGGCGGACGGGUGAGUAAUGCCUAGGAAUCUGCCUGGUAGUGGGGGAUAACGUUCGGAAACGGACGCUAAUACCGCAUACGUCCUACGGGAGAAAGCAGGGGACCUUCGGGCCUUGCGCUAUCAGAUGAGCCUAGGUCGGAUUAGCUAGUUGGUGAGGUAAUGGCUCACCAAGGCGACGAUCCGUAACUGGUCUGAGAGGAUGAUCAGUCACACUGGAACUGAGACACGGUCCAGACUCCUACGGGAGGCAGCAGUGGGGAAUAUUGGACAAUGGGCGAAAGCCUGAUCCAGCCAUGCCGCGUGUGUGAAGAAGGUCUUCGGAUUGUAAAGCACUUUAAGUUGGGAGGAAGGGCAGUUACCUAAUACGUGAUUGUUUUGACGUUACCGACAGAAUAAGCACCGGCUAACUCUGUGCCAGCAGCCGCGGUAAUACAGAGGGUGCAAGCGUUAAUCGGAAUUACUGGGCGUAAAGCGCGCGUAGGUGGUUUGUUAAGUUGGAUGUGAAAUCCCCGGGCUCAACCUGGGAACUGCAUUCAAAA
rnacentral:rRNA from 1 species